rnacentral:rRNA from 1 species
UGAGGAAUAUUGGUCAAUGGCCGUAAGGCUGAACCAGCCAAGUAGCGUGCAGGACGACGGCCCUAUGGGUUGUAAACUGCUUUUAUGUGGGGAUAAAAGACGGGACUUGUCCCGUUUUGCAGGUACCUCAUGAAUAAGGACCGGCUAAUUCCGUGCCAGCAGCCGCGGUAAUACGGAAGGUCCGGGCGUUAUCCGGAUUUAUUGGGUUUAAAGGGAGCGUAGGCCGGACUUUAAGCGUGUUGUGAAAACCGUCGCUCAACGACGGUCGUGCAGCGCGAACUGGAGUCCUUGAGUGCGUUGAAAGUGGGCGGAAUUCGUGGUGUAGCGGUGAAAUGCUUAGAUAUCACGAAGAACUCCGAUUGCGAAGGCAGCCCACUGCAUCGCAACUGACGCUGAAGCUCGAAAGUGCGGGUAUCGAACAGGAUUAGAUACCCUGGUAGU